rnacentral:rRNA from 1 species
UACGUAGGGAGCAAGCGUUGUCCGGAUUUAUUGGGUUUAAAGGGUGCGCAGGCGGAAUGUCAAGUCAGCGGUAAAAUUUCGGGGCUCAACCCCGUCGUGCCGUUGAAACUGGCGUUCUUGAGUGAGCGAGAAGUACGCGGAAUGCGCGGUGUAGCGGUGAAAUGCAUAGAUAUCGCGCAGAACUCCGAUUGCGAAGGCAGCGUACCGGCGCCGGACUGACGCUGAGGCACGAAAGCGUGGGUAUCGAACAGG